rnacentral:rRNA from 1 species
GUAGGGAAUAUUGGUCAAUGGACGAAAGUCUGAACCAGCCAUUCCGCGUGUAGGAAGAAGAUUCUAUGGAUUGUAAACUGCUUUUAGCAGAGAAGAAACGCCUUCAUUGAUGAGGGUUUGACGGUAUCUGCGGAAUAAGCACCGGCUAACUCCGUGCCAGCAGCCGCGGUAAUACGGGGGGUGCAAGCGUUAUCCGGAAUCACUGGGUUUAAAGGGUGCGUAGGCGGGAAAUUAAGUCAGUGGUGAAAGUCUGUUGCUUAACGAUAGAAUUGCCGUUGAUACUGAUUUUCUUGAAUUGGGUUGAGGUUAGCGGAAUGUGACAUGUAGCGGUGAAAUGCAUAGAUAUGUCAUGGAACACCAAUUGCGAAGGCAGCUAGCUGGGCCUUGAUUGACGCUGAGGCACGAAAGCGUGGGUAGCGAACAGGAUUAGAAACCCGGGUAGUCC